AUAUUGCCCAAUGGGGGGAACCCUGAUGCAGCGACGCCGCGUGGGUGAAGGAGCGUUUCGGCGCGUAAAGCCCUAUCGGCAGGGAAGAAGGAGGACGGUACCUGACUAAGAAGCCCCGGCUAACUACGUUCCAGCCUCCGCGGUACUACGUAGGGGGCAAGCGUUAUCCGGAAUUACUGGGUGUAAAGGGAGCGUAGACGGUGAUGUAAGUCUGGAGUGAAAGGCGGGGGCCCAACCCCCGGACUGCUCUGGAAACUAUGUGACUGGAGUGCAGGAGAGGUGAGCGGAAUUCCUAGUGUAGCGGUGAAAUGCGUAGAUAUUAGGAGGAACACCAGUGGCGAAGGCGGCUCACUGGACUGUAACUGACGUUGAGGCUCGAAAGCGUGGGGAGCAAACAGG
rnacentral:rRNA from 1 species